AUGAUGAGAAAGUUGAGAUUCUGUUGCGAAGGGGUAGACACAUUAAGCCUUGUGGAGGAGCCAAAGGAGAAAAUAACUAAAAAAGAGUCAUUGGGCAAAGCCAAUAAUAAUGCGACUCCAAAGAGAAAGUGUGUGAAAAAUAGUGUCGUCAAUUGUUUUGUUCACUGCAUCUCUGCCAAGUGCUUCAACACCAACAACACUCUUUCACCUCCAAGUCCAACACCAACAACAGCAGCCAACGAUAGGAACAAAUCAAAGGGUGUGAAGUAA